rnacentral:rRNA from 1 species
UACAGAGGGGGCGAGCGUUGUUCGGAAUUACUGGGCGUAAAGGGCGCGUAGGCGGCCAACUAAGUCAGACGUGAAAUCCCUCGGCUCAACCGGGGAACUGCGUCUGAUACUGGAUGGCUUGAAUUCGGGAGAGGGAUGCGGAAUUCCAGGUGUAGCGGUGAAAUGCGUAGAUAUCUGGAGGAACACCGGUGGCGAAGGCGGCAUCCUGGACCGAGAUUGACGCUGAUGCGCGAAGGCGUGGGGAGCGAACGGG